AGCAGCCGCGGUAAUUCCAGCUCCAAUAGCGUAUAUUAAAGUUGUUGCAGUUAAAAAGCUCGUAGUUGAAUUUCGGGAUUUGUCAGUUGGUCGGGCUUCACUGUCCGUAUUGACUUGAUGGAUUCUUACCUUCUGAAUAACCAGCAUGCUAUUAAGUUAGUGCGUUGGGGAAGCAGAUCUAUUACCUUGAAAAAAUUAGAGUGCUUAAAGCGAGCUAGUGCUUGAAUAGAUUAGCAUGGAAUAAUAAAAUAGGACGGCAUGGUUCUAUUUUGUUGGUUUCUAGGAUCACCGUAAUGAUUAAUAGGGAUAGUUGGGGGCAUUAGUAUUCAAUUGUCAGAGGUGAAAUUCUUGGAUUUAUUGAAGACUAACUUCUGCGAAAGCAUUUGCCAAGGAUGUUUUCAUUAAUCAAGAACGAAAGUUAGGGGAUCGAAGACGAUCAGAUACCGUCGUAGUCUUAACCAUAAACUAUGCCGACUAGGAAUCGGACGAUGUUAAUUUUAUAAUGACUCGUUC
rnacentral:rRNA from 1 species